rnacentral:rRNA from 1 species
CUUAAAGGAAUUGACGGGACCGUACAAGCGGUGGAUGAUGUGGAUUAAUCGAUGCAACGCGAAGAACCUUACCUACCCUUGACAUGUCCGGAACUUGCCAGAGAUGGCUUGGUGCCCGAAAGGGAAUCGGAACACAGGUGCUGCAUGGCUGUCGUCAGCUCGUGUCGUGAGAUGUUGGGUUAAGUCCCGCAACGAGCGCAACCCUUAUCAUUAGUUGCUACGCAAGGGCACUCUAAUGAGACUGCCGGUGACAAACCGGAGGAAGGUGGGGAUGACGUCAAGUCCUCAUGGCCCUUAUGGGUAGGGCUUCACACGUCAUACAAUGGUCGGUACAGAGGGUUGCCAAGCCGCGAGGCGGAGCCAAUCCCACAAAGCCGAUCGUAGUCCGGAUUGUUCUCUGCAACUCGAGAGCAUGAAGUCGGAAUCGCUAGUAAUCGCAGGUCAGCAUACUGCGGUGAAUACGUUCCCGGGUCUU